rnacentral:rRNA from 1 species
ACGCUCGACACCUACGGGAGCAGCAGUCGGGAAUAUUGCGCAAUGGAGGAAACUCUGACGCAGUGACGCCGCGUGCAGGAAGAAGGUUUUCGGAUUGUAAACUGCUUUAGACAGGGAAGAACAAAUGACAGUACCUGUAGAAUAAGCUCCGGCUAACUACGUGCAGCAGCCGCGGUAAUCUGAGCGGGCUGGCAAGGC